CCUACGGGCGGCAGCAGUGGGGAAUAUUUGGCAAUGGACGCAAGUCUGACCCAGCAACGCCGCGUGAAGGAAGAAGGCUUUCGGGUUGUAAACUUCUGUUAAGGGGGAAGAGAAGAAGACGGUACCCCUUGAAUAAGCCACGGCUAACUACGUGCGAGCAGCCGCGGUAAUACGUAGGUGGCAAGCGUUGUCCGGAUUUACUGGGUGUAAAGGGCGGGCAGGCGGAGAGACAAGUCAGGUGUGAAAGCAACGGGCUCAACCCGUGAUCUGCAUUUGAAACUGGUUACCUUGAGUGUCGGAGAGGUAAUCGGAAUUCCUUGUGUAGCGGUGAAAUGCGUAGAUAUAAGGAAGAACACCAGUGGCGAAGGCGGAUUACUGGACGAUAACUGACGGUGAGGCGCGAAAGCGUGGGGAGCAAACAGGAUUAGAUACCCGUGUAGUC
rnacentral:rRNA from 1 species